CUUUCAUUUAGUCUCAAAUCAAAAUGACUUCAGGCGUCAUCACCUCGACUUUCUUUAUUCUCUGGGUUGCAGGUGUUUCUGAGUCUGUACUGAUCGACCAGUGGCCUCGCUACAUCUCCGCCGCUCCCAACACUGGUGUAGAAAUGCACUGUUACCAGAACGAAACAGAUCAUCAAUACAUGUACUGGUACAAACAACAGAAAGGAAAAGCUCUGGAGCUCGUUGUGUAUCUGGUAGCUGGUGGUCCUACCUACGAAGACAGAUUCAAAUCAGGAUAUAAGGCAGAGACGGUACAAGUGAAGAAGUCGUCCCUGACAAUCUCUAGCGUUCAGAGGAAAGACGAGGCUGUUUAUCUGUGUGCUGCUAGUUUACACAGUGCUGUGGCAGACCCCACCACUGUGACAAAAACAUCCUUUAUUGUUCUGACACCUGACUGACACAUAAUAAUAUUCAAAGGAAGAAACAAAACCACACUGAGGAGGAGAUAUCGACGGAUUAAACUAUACACGUU